rnacentral:rRNA from 1 species
GUCCACGCCGUAAACGAUGGAUACUAGCUGUUCGGUCGCAAGACUGAGUGGCUAAGCGAAAGUGAUAAGUAUCCCACCUGGGGAGUACGAACGCAAGUUUGAAACUCAAAGGAAUUGACGGGGCCCGCACAAGCGGUGGAGCAUGUGGUUUAAUUCGAUGAUACGCGAGGAACCUUACCAAGGCUUAAAUGUAGAUUGACAGGUCUGGAAACAGAUUUUCCUUCGGGCAAUUUACAAGGUGCUGCAUGGUUGUCGU